GUCGAGCGGAAACGAGAAUAGCUUGCUAUUCGGCGUCGAGCGGCGGACGGGUGAGUAAUGCUUGGGAAUAUGCCUUGAGGUGGGGGACAACAGUUGGAAACGACUGCUAAUACCGCAUAAUGUCUUCGGACCAAAGGAGGGGAUCUUCGGACCUUUCGCCUUAAGAUUAGCCCAAGUGAGAUUAGCUAGUUGGUGGGGUAAAGGCCUACCAAGGCGACGAUCUCUAGCUGGUUUGAGAGGAUGAUCAGCCACACUGGGACUGAGACACGGCCCAGACUCCUACGGGAGGCAGCAGUGGGGAAUAUUGCACAAUGGGGGAAACCCUGAUGCAGCCAUGCCGCGUGUGUGAAGAAGGCCUUCGGGUUGUAAAGCACUUUCAGUUGUGAGGAAAGGUUAGUAGUUAAUACCUGCUAGCUGUGACGUUAGCAACAGAAGAAGCACCGGCUAACUCCGUGCCAGCAGCCGCGGUAAUACGGAGGGUGCGAGCGUUAAUCGGAAUUACUGGGCGUAAAGCGUACGCAGGCGGUUUGUUAAGCGAGAUGUGAAAGCCCCGGGCUCAACCUGGGAACUGCAUUUCGAACUGGCAAACUAGAGUGUGAUAGAGGGUGGUAGAAUUUCAGGUGUAGCGGUGAAAUGCGUAGAGAUCUGAAGGAAUACCGAUGGCGAAGGCAGCCACCUGGGUCAACACUGACGCUCAUGUACGAAAGCGUGGGGAGCAAACGGGAUUAGAUACCCC
rnacentral:rRNA from 1 species